rnacentral:ribozyme from 11 species
ACAAAAAAACAAACACGUCAAAAAAGAAGAAGAGAAAGAAAGGAGACACGGAACGCGAAAAGCGAAGAAGGAUCGUCUCUGUCUGUCUGUCUGAGUCCAUUACACACGCACGCCUUGAUUCCUUUCUUUCCUCUGUUCCGCUCUUCGGGUCUUCUUUCUGUCUUUCUCUUUCU